rnacentral:rRNA from 1 species
CGACUGGCAUUCAUCGUUUACGGUGUGGACUACCAGGGUAUCUAAUCCUGUUUGCUCCCCACACUUUCGUACCUCAGCGUCAGUAUCGAGCCAGUAAGCCGCCUUCGCCACUGGUGUUCCUCCAAAUAUCUACGAAUUUCACCUCUACACUUGGAAUUCCACUUACCUCUCUCGAACUCAAGACCAGGAGUUUAUGAGGCAGUUCCAGGGUUAAGCCCUGGGAUUUCACCCCAUACUUUCUGAUCCGCCUACGUACGCUUUACGCCCAGUAAUUCCGAACAACGCUAGCCCCCUCCGUAUUACCGCGGCUGCUGGCACGGAGUUAGCCGGGGCUUCUUUACUAGGUACUGUCAUUAUCAUCCCUAGCGAAAGAGCUUUACGAUCCUAAGACCUUCAUCACUCACGCGGCAUGGCUAGAUCAGGCUUUCGCCCAUUGUCUAAGAUUCCCCACUGCUGCCUCCCGUAGGAGUCUGGGCCGUGUCUCAGUCCCAGUGUUGCUGAUCAUCCUCUAAAACCAGCUAAAGAUCGUAGACUUGGUAGGCCAUUACCCCACCAACUAUCUAAUCUUACGCGGGCCAAUCCCUCACCGAUAAAUCUUUCCCCCGAAGGGCGUAUAUGGUAUUACUCUCAGUUUCCCGAGGCUAUUCCAUAGAAAGGGGUAUGUUCCCACGCGUUACUAACCCGUCCGCCGCUCCACCCGAAGGUAGCGCUCGACUUGCAUGUGUUAGGCCUGCCGCCAGCGUUCGUUCUGAGCCAGGAUCAAACUCU